UGAAAGCCUACAGCUCAACUGUAGAACUGCCAUUGAAACUGAUUUUCUUGAAUAUAGAUGAAGUGGGCGGAAUAUAUCAUGUAGCGGUGAAAUGCGUAGAUAUGAUAUAGAACACCGAUUGCGAAGGCAGCUCACUAAACUAUUAUUGACGCUGAGGGACGAAAGUGUGGGGAGCGAACAGGAUUAGAUACCCUGGUAGUCCACACCGUAAACGAUGAUUACUCGAUGCUAGCGAUAUACUGUUAGUGUCUAAGCGAAAGCGAUAAGUAAUCCACCUGGGGAGUACGGUCGCAAGAUUGAAACUCAAAGGAAUUGACGGGGGCCCGCACAAGCGGUGGAGCAUGUGGUUUAAUUCGAUGAUACGCGAGGAACCUUACCUGGGCUUAAAUGUAUUUUGACAGACUGGGAAACCAGUCCUUCUUCGGACAAUUUACAAGGUGCUGCAUGGUUGUCGUCAGCUCGUGCUGUGAGGUGUCGGGUUAAGUCCCAUAACGAGCGCAACCCCUAUCCUUAGUUGCCAGCGAGUAAUGUCGGGGACUCUAGGGAAACUGCCGGUGCAAACCGUGAGGAAGGUGGGGAUGACGUCAAAUCAUCGCGGCCCUUACGUCCAGGGCUACACACGUGCUACAAUGG
rnacentral:rRNA from 1 species